rnacentral:ncRNA from 1 species
AAUUUAAAGAGUUUGAUCCUGGCUCCGAAUUAAUGCUUUUGGUUAAUAUUACACAUGCAAGUUAAAAUUAGUUAUUUUUAGCGUACGGGUGAGUAAAACGUAAAAAUUACUUUAAUAAAAAAGUUUACGUAAGAUUAAGUUUUAAUUUCAAAUUAAUAAUUAAAUUAGCUAACAAUCUUUAGUUAAUCUUUGAGGAUGAUUAGCCACAUUGGAAUUGAAAAACGGUCCAGACUAUUAUUAGGCAGCAGUGAAGAAUAUUGGACAAUGAACGUAAGUUUGAUCCAGUUAAACCAAUUAUGUGAUGAAGAUUUUUUAUUGUAAAACAUAAAAUAUUAAAAAAAUUAUGAUUUUUAAUAUUUUUUAGUCCUGGCUAAUUUCGUGCCAGCAGCCGCGGUAAAACGGGAAGGGCAAGUGUUAUUCUAAUUUAUUGGGCGUAAAGAAUUAUAAGGUUGUAAAUUUAUGUAAAAAUUUUUAUUUUAAUGAAAUUUAUUUUUAAAAAAUAAUUGUUUAAAUUUACUCGAGUUUAAAUAAAAGAUUUUAGAAUUUUAAGUGUAACGGUAAAAUGUAUUAAUAUUUAAAAGAAUUUCUAAAGUAAAUACAAAAAUCUAAUUUAAUACUGACACUUUUUAAUUAAAGUAUAGGUAGCAAAAGGGAUUAGAUACCCCUGUAGUCUAUACUCUGAACUAUGAAUGUUAUUAAAUUACUGUGUAAAUUAAUUAAAUUAACGUAAAAACAUUUCGCCUGGGAACUACGAUCGCAAGGUUAAAACCCAAAGGAAUUGACGGGAAUUCAAACAAGCAGUGGAGCAUGUGGUUUAAAUCGACAAUACGCGAGAAAUCUUACCAAUCUUUGAUUUUUUUCAGGUGUUGCAUGGCUGUCGUCAGUCCGUGCUGUGAAGUGUUUGGUUUAUUCCAAUGAACGGACGAAACUUUUUUUUGUUUAUUACAUUUUUAUUAAGGAUAUCUUAAUAAAAUAAAAAUGACGACAAGUCUUCAUGACCCUUAUAAAUUGGGCUACUUUCAUGUGCUACAGUGUUCUUAACAAAAAAUAAUUAUAAUAUUUUAAUUAAAUUAAUCACAACAAAGAAACAUAACUUUCGGAUUGUUUUCUGUAACUCGAAUACAUGAAGUUGAAAUUGCUAGUAAUCGUUAAUAAGAACGUUACGGUGAAUAAGUUCUUGAAUUUUGUACACACCGCCCGUCACAUUAUGGGAAUCAAUUUUGCUUGAAGAAAUUUUAAAGUAAAAAGAAGACUAGAGUGAAGUCGUAACAAGGUAGCCGUAGGGGAACCUGUGGCUGGAAUAAAAAUUAA